UUUUUUUACCCCCACCUCCUUUCCCUGGCUCACCCUUUUUCUCCUGCAGGGAGGCAUUAUGGGUUUGUGGGUCCGUUCUCCUCCCCCGCCCCCGCACCACUGGGAAAGGAAGUGUCUACGUGGCUUGCGGAAAUAGGAUAGGCGGAAAUGAGCUAAGGUUCCCGCGAGUGGGAAGAGCGAGGUCAAACCUAGGGCCACGCCCCCCCGAGCCUGUUGCGCAACUCUCGGAACGGGAGAAAAAAAAGGAAUAAUGAAGGUUUUGCUGUGUGUGUGUGAGGGUGGUGUAUAUAUAUAUAUCUGCAUUUGGGUAUGUGGCGUGAGUUCAGAGGUCAGAGGCAUUGGAUCUCCUGGAGCUGGAAUUAUAGACUCUUCUGAGACACCUGACAUGGAUGCUGGGAACCUAACACGGGUCCUCCGGAAGAGCAGCAAGUGGUCUUAAUUGCUGGGCCAUCUCUCCAGCCACAGUGGUGAAAGGUUUUUAGAACAGUUCAACUGUAUUUCCUAGGCAAACCAGAAGCAUCAGCAUCACCUGAGUCAGAUCACUUCAAAGAACUCAUUGCACCAGGCCCAGGCGUCCCUAUGACACAGAGUGACACACUACCCUGCUCCGUUCUGACCUUUCUUGUCCCCUCACCUGAGUCCUGUGGAAGAAGAUAGGGAAGCCAAAGGGGAAAGAAACAACCCCAAGUGUGGCUCUAACUCGUGCAGCUACUACCCGAGUGGGAGAGAGAGAAGUGCCAAAUAAAGGGCAGGCUCUGAAUGGAAGUGGACAAGAUGAAGAUGACAAGCCAAGAGUCCAGGAGUCUAAAUAUUCUUCUCAGAGGAUCCCCAGCAAUGACAGAACGUCUUUCUGGCAUCAGGCCCAUGGACGAAUGAUGAGAAAUGGCAGAGAGAGGUUUGCUGGGUCCAUUUUACAGAAAAAGAACCAGAGGCAAGCAAGGUAUCUCAGAAGGAAUUGAAAAAUGAGAGGGAUGAAAGCCAAAGAAGAGAAUUUUCAAGAAUAAAUGCUGAAAUAUUGAUGAGUGAGCUGAGCUUUUGGAAUUGGGCCUGAGAAUGUUAAGUGCUUCGAUGCUUAUAUGAGGGAAGCCAUCAGUUUCAGUCCUAUACAGUGAAAACUGCAGCUGCACCCUGUUGACAAGCAGACUUCCAGAAACUUCCAUGUGAAGAGCAAAUGGAUCAGAUAUAAGCACCCAGCUACUGUUCUAGUGUCAUGCUUGUCUGCCUGUUGCCAUGCUCCCCACCAUGAUGAUCAUGGAAUCACCCUCUGAAACUGUAAGCAAGCCUCCAAUGAAAUGCUUUGGAGAUGGUGUCUCUUCACAGUAAUAGAAAGGUAACUAAUCAGUAUACGCUGUGCAUUGUAUGUGUGUUGUCUUGUUUGUGGACAUACAUAUGUGAAUGCAUUCAUUGGCCAGAGGAGCACAUCAGGUAGCUUCCUCUAUUGCUCUCUGCCUUAUUGGUCGCAUUAUUGUCUUGAGCCAGAGUCUCUCACUGAACUGACCAUCUGCUCUCUCGGCUAGGCUAGAGAGAUCAAGGAUUCCCUGUCUCAGUACUCUGAUGCAGGGGUUCAGGCAAGCAUAGCCAUGCCAGAAUUUUUAUGUGGGUGCUGGACAUUCAAAAUCAGGCCUUCAUGUUUGCAUAGGCAAGCAAGCACUCUUAUGUACUAAGCUGUCUCCUCAGCCUUCUGAACCGUUUCUUUAAACUGUAUUCUUUGGGACAGCCUUCCUUUGUAGCUCUGGCAUCCAUUAUUUCAAUACAAUAAUGACAAUAAUGUCUUGGCAAUGUUUUUAUCUAGAAACACCCCCAACAUGGUUUUGUAAUGAAGUGCCAUGCUCCAUCCAUAGUGGGCAGAGAGGCUCUUCUUUAGGAACAAGAGGUAAGUAACCUGUAGUGAGGUCCUUCCUUCUCCACGAGACAAGUACAUACAUGUUAUGGGCAACUUUAGAGUUCCAACUUUACUGGGCAUGGUGGUACAGGCCUGUAAUCCUAGCAUUUUGGAGGUGGAAUCAGGUGGAUCAGGAGUUCUAAGCUAGCUCAGCUACAUAACAAGUUUGAGGCCAGCUUAGACUAUAUGAAACCUAAUCUCUAAAUGCACAAAGCAAGACAAAGGCCAUCCUAAUGGUCGGUAGACGGCCCAGUACCAGCAGAUCCAUUCCAUCUCUGGGAGAAUGCAGCAUGUAGAAGGGAGUCUGCCCCUACAAAGUUGGCCUCUGUGUGCUAGACACUGUAGAUGGCACUUCCAUAGCCAUCAUUUUGUUUGACUCAUAAAUAUCCUUAUUCCUGGAAACAAGCUCAGAAAUGACAGCUGAACACCCAGGACUUAUAGACAGGACUUUUGGCCCCUAACAACUCCUCAAGUAUAUAUGGAGGUCUAAGACCACCAGAGGCUGGCUUAUGGGGAACAACAACUGUAAGUGUGUUUGCUGAAUAAAGAAUGAGUGUUUGCAGGAACUGUAUGAGGAAAGAAGGGGCUCACAGCUAGGGUUCUUCCACUCCUCUUCCACUUGACCGACUGCUGUGGGCUUCAGCAAAAGACAUAUGCUUUGUGUUGUCGGUGGUGGUAUUUGUGUGGGAGGGUGUUAUUCUACUUAUUUUUGUACAAUAGCUUUUUAUUGACCAAUUCAUACUUCAAAUAAUACCAAUUAAUGUAUUUUCUUUGACCCCCUUGUUCUCAUUAAGUAGUCAGAACAAUAUGUUCCUUAAUUCUCUUCAGGAAGUAGACAAAAUGGACAGGCUUUAGGUAGCCUACUUGGGUUCAGAUCUUUCUUCUGCUCCUUAGUAUGUGACCUUUUACAAGAAGUUUAACUCUCCUGUUUCUGGAUCCCCAGUUUUUGUCUUGUUUGUUUUGCUUCAUUUUUAGACAGGCUCUUGUUAUGCAGUCCAUGCUGCCCUGGAACUCUGUGUAUCCCAGACUGCCUUGGGCUCAUGAUCCUUCUGCCUUGGCCUCCCAAAUGCUGGGACUGCAUGCAUGCAUCACCACACCCCAUUCUCUACCGCUGUUUGUUAACCGAGAAGAUAAAAUCCAUCAGGGAUGUUGUAAAUAUUAAGUGGACUAAGAGACAUUAAGCACUGGAGCACGGUCAGAUACACAGCACUUGAUAAAUGAUGAUUAUGACUCAACCCCGGGGCCCUUCUUUCCUUUCAUUGGCUCUGUGCUCUGAAAUGGUUUUGCUAUACUGUGUUUCUAGCUAAGUGGUGGGAAGAUGCCAGAACCGAGAAUGUGGGCCUUAGAAGGAAUACCAUUUAGAGCUCAGUUAGAGCAACAGCCAGUACUUACUAGGACAUUGGUACUGUGUCUGAUAAAGCACCCUGGAUGAGGGUGUGGAUCUGGCAGAAGAGAAAUAGAAAUAUUGCUAAGGGUACAGAGGACUGGAAAUUGGGAGGCCAGAAGAAAAAAAAAAAAACAAAAACAAAGGAGACAUAGUAGGGAAGGGAAAAAUGGGAAGACGGGAAGAAAAGGAUUGCAAAAGAUAGUGAAAGGGUAGAACUAAAGAGACUCUAAAUCGAUCCUGGAACAUUAAAGCACAAAUGAAGGAAAAUAAAAUUAACAUCUUUAUUGAAGACGAAAACAGGAAGUAGGAAAUAUCCUUGUUUAGGGAAAUCUCAUAUAGAAAGGAGCAGUUGCUAAGGGCCUUUGGAGGUUGGUUACCAUGGUGAUGCUAUAUGUCUUCUUUUCUAUUACCUUGUGAUCUGUCAGCAGAUGGCUUCUUUCUGCUUUAGUUUCUAACACCAGGGCUUAGCCCUUAUUGAAGCAUUGGUGUUUCCGUCUACAGUACUUUUGUUACACUGUGAGACCUACUGGCUGUUGUCUAGCUCCUUCUUGAUAAGUUGCACAUGUAGGAAGACAAUGGAGAAAUUACAUACUAGGAAGCUGAAGGCAGAAGCCUGUGUACCUCUUUUCAGAUGCAUGGAAAGGCAUGUUUAGCAGGCCAGGACACCUCAUGUCUGGGGAGAUUGAGAAAAUUUUGUAACA